CCACAAUCAAGCCUCUUGCCCACAUUUUCCUUCUCUUCCUGCUUGACCCUGUUGCUUCUCUGCUUGGUCCUGCAUGGUGUGCUCCUUCUCUGAGGAUCUGAAACCCUGAGUGGUACCCAGGGCCCUGCCCAUUUGGGUGACCGCAAUGGGUGUCUGGGCUACGAGGAAGGCAGCCUGCACGGUGGAGGGGACUGUGUGUUCCCUGAGCCUGACCCCAGGGAACCAGGAGUUGGAAUUCCUGUGAAGGACUUACUGGCCGCCGAAGAGUUGCAUUCCCAAAAGGGCGAAGACGACAAUGAACAGGAAAAGGAGAAACAACAGGCUGAUGAUGGACUUCAUGGAGUUGAGGAGAGAGACGACCAGGUUUCUGAGAGAUGCCCAGUACCUGCCGACAGAGGCCAGGCGAGGACUCAGGCCAGGCGGGGGAGGCAGGGCCCCGGAGUCAGCCCUCGAAACACGAGGCUCACUUUCCCAACUUUCUGGAGGCGGCCCCACCAUGUCCCCCAUCCCCACCCCCUGUACAAAUGUCCAGGAACCCCAAAGACUUACUUUGUGACUUUGAAAAUACGCAAUAACCUGAGGGCUCGUAACACGCUGAUUCCAAAGGAUGUGCCAGGUUUUAUGACAGCCCAGAUGACCUCGAAGAUGCUCCCAAUGAUAACCUAGGGCAGAGAACCUGGUCUCAUGUCCAGGGACAGUGUCUGGGCUCCAGAACUGGCAAGCAUUUCCUAGGUACCAACCUUGCAAGAACUCAACCAAACUCCUCCCUCCAAAUGGAAGCCGGGUGAGGAUCCUUGACCCCCUCAUUCAUCCAUUCAUUUAUCUAUAGAGACCGGGUCUCACUGUGUCACCCAGGCUGGAGUGCAGUGGCGCAAUCAUAGCUCACUGCAGCACUGUCCUCCUGGGCUUAAGUGAUCCUCCCACCUCAGCCUCUUGAGUAGCUGGGAUUACAGGUGUGCCCCACCACAUCUGGCUAAUUUUAAAACAUUUUUAUAGAGAUAGUGUCUCGCUAGUAUUGCCCAGGCUGGCCUCAAACUUCUGGGCUGAAGCCAUCCUCCUGCUUUGGUCUCUCCAACUGUUGGCCUCCACUUUCCAAAGCAUUGAGCCACUGCACCCGGCCUCUUAUUUAUUUAUUUAUUUUUAUUUAUUCAUUUAUUUUGAGAUGGAGUCUUGCUCUUAUCACCCAGGCUGGUGUGCAGUGGCGCGAUCUCAGCUUACUGCAACCUCCGCCUCCCAGGUUCAAGCGAUUCUCCUGCCUCAGCCUCCCAAGUAACUGGGAUUACAGGCACCCGCCACCACGCCCGGCUAAUUUUUUGUAUUUUUAGUAGAGACGGGGUUUCACUGUGUUGGCCAGGCUAGUCUCGAACUCCUGACCUCGUGAUCCGCCUGCCUCGGCCUCCCAAAGUGCUGGGAUUACAGGCGUGAGCCACCACACCUGGCCUCUUUUUUAUUUAUUAAGAGCUCCCACAGGCCUGAGAAUUCCUGAAACACAUAAUUACAAAGUGAAUGUCAUGCAACUACUACCUAUGUCAACAAUUAGGAGAAGGCUAGGGCAGUGGCUCAUGCCUGUAAUUCUGGAACUUUGGGAGGCCGAGGUGGGCAGAUCACUUGAGCCCAGGAGUUCAAGACCAGCCUGGGUAACACAGGGAAACCCUGACUUUACAAAAAAAAAAAAAAUUAGUCAAGCAUGGUGGCAUGUGCCUAUAGUCCCAGCUACUUAGGAGGCUGAGGAGGGAGGAUAGCUUGAGCCUAGGAAUUUGAGACAGGAGAGGGUCAUGAUCCUGCCACUGCACUCUAGCCUGGGCAACAGAGCAAGACCCUAUCUCAAAUAAAAUAAAAAAUAAAAUAAAAUAAAAAGGGACAUGUGGAUACCCUGGAAGUUUCCAGAGACACUGUGAUAUAACUACCAUCCUGAAUUUUGUAAUAACCAUUUUCUUACCUUAAAAAAAACUGAGGUGAAAUUCACAUAACAUAAAAUUCACACUUUGAAUUACACAAUUCAGUGCCUUUAGGUACAUGCACAAUAUUCUGCAACUAUCACCUCUAUCAAGUUCCAAAACAUUUUCAUCACCCCCAAAGGAGGCCCUGUCCCCAUGAGCAGUUACUCCCCACUCUCCCUCACCCAGACCCUAGCAACCACUAAUCUACUUUCUGUCUCUAUGGAUUUGCCUGCUCUGGACAUUUCAUACAAAUGGAAUUAUGCAAUACUUGACCUUUUGUGUUUGGUUUCUUUUACCGAGCGUUGUGUUUUCA
rnacentral:lncRNA from 10 species